GAAAGCCGGGAGCAGAGGAAUUAGCGAAACAAAAGGAAUCAUGGCGGAGUGCUUCUGCUGGGCACCUUCCAGCAGGCUGUGUGGAUUAUGGACUAAAAAGCCUCCCCCAGGAGGUAGCAGGAACGUGGACACGGCUGGGGGACAGCAGCGAGGAGGUGGUGGAGGGAAACAGGAAACGGAGUACUACUUGGUGGAAAUACGGAUGAUCAGUGCACAUGGACGUGGCAUUCAAGAAUCUGUUUCUUCAAGUCAGGGAGAUUUUUUGUAAAAGCAUGGAUAUUCCUUCCAAAAGAGGAACUUAGCAGCUGGUAAUGAGAACCUUGCCUGAGGUUCAGAGGAGAAAGAAAAAGCAUGAAGCAUCAGGAAGAACCAGGAAGACGGAUACAGUAACUGGUACCAACAACUUGGGCAGAUCUCUCAAAAGCAGCAGAUGAGCCACACUUCCAUAUCCUUUGAGAUGUAUGUCAGAGCAUCCACGCCAUCCAAAAAGUCUACCCAGUUCUCUCAUCUUGAUGGAGAAACUCGAUUAUACUUGAGGAUGGAAGCUGGAUCGGGAUGUAUUUUUACAAGAAGAGGAUUGACAGAAUGUCUGAUCUUCCAUGCCUAACUUCUCCGUCUGUUUUAAAAUCAAGAAAACUCAGUAUAAGAUCCUUAGCAGGUGGUGCAUGACUAAACAAAGCUUCAUUUAAUUUAUUCAGAUUAUAUUUAGCUAUGUUGGAAGAGGAUGGGCCAAAUAGGUUCCUUUUCACACCUUUGAUAGAAGGUUCAGCAGUUAUAUAGGGACAAAGGGAGCUGCAAUAUACUGAGUCAGACCACUGGUCCAUCUAUCUCAGUAUUGCCUAUUGUUAAUAGUACUAGUCCUGGGGAAUUGCAAACACCCCUGAUUACUUUUGGGGCUUGUGUGUGGGGAACUAGCCACACUGACCCACCUCAGACUAAAUUUGUCUUUGGUCUCUGAAAGAACUGACAGAGAGUGUGUAGUUCAGAAAUGGAAUCAGGUUUAUUUUAGGGGUACAAUAAAUGAAACAUGACUAAUAGGCAAUACAAUAUUCAACAAGCAAAACUAACAAGACUCACAAAGAGGCAAUUUGGCUUGUGCUUCCACUCAAGUCCACUCAAGGCUGACCAGAGAAACAGUCUUAGGGAACAGCUUUGGAUUUUAGGGGGUGCGAGAGGGAGAGGGAGAGAAAGGAGGAGAGCAAGAAGUUUUGGAACACAGAAUAGUAAUACCUAAGUCCAUCCGGUGGGGUGUGUGGACCCUUGUAGCUCAACUGAUGUCUUUCCUCCAGGGCAGGCAGGAAGGCAAAAGGCAAGAGUCGGGACCCAAGAGCCAAAUGAGGAGCCAGGAGCCAGAAAGAAUCCAAAGGGAAUCUGGUCUCAGGAGACAAGUGUCUGGCUGCAGUCAAGUGUGCUGAGCAGUUCGGGCCUGACAACAGAGCUGAUCUGGAAGUGACGAGUGGAACAGCAACAAGAGUUUGCACAAAUCAAAAUGGUGUAGCUAAUGCGCAAAUGUACAAACACACAACUGGUGAAUCCAAUGGAGAGACACACUGGUUGGUUGUGUCUUGACUAGAAAUAAACAGCAUCUUGCCUUGAGGUGGCAUGCUGGCCACAGCUUUCUGUUGACAAAGGCGACAACAGGGAAAGGAGUGCAUCCUUGUUCUGUUCAACUUUGCUGGGUGUGCUUCUACCAGCAUGAUGAGGUGAAUAGGUCAAGGAACCUGCGUAGGGUGAAAUGAAAUGGACACAUCAGAGCUUAUCUUGUGUCUUCAGGAGACCUUGGGAGUGUCUUAGGAAUGUUUUAACACACUUGCUUCCCAAGCCCCGAGCCAGCCAUUAGUGCUCUGUUAGAGAAGGAGAUGAGCUUGUUACCCCUUAUCUAUCCCUUCCUGUGAAGAUAAUAGGAUUGAACUGAUCUGAUGUGGCAACAUAGCGGGAGAGUAUUUGGUUAGUUCUGUAAAAGAAUAGUGCUUAAUAGACUCAUGUCUACUCUAGCUUUCUCCUGAAAACUAAUCAGGGAGGUGAGCACAGGGAUCACCCCAAAACAGGUGUAGGGGUGCUCCUGGGACCCCCAAACAAGCUAUUUUGGUAACACUAUACAGACUGGCAGCAGGGUCUCCAAGGUUGCAGGCAGGAGUCUCUCUCAGACCUAUCUUGGAGAUGCCACGGAGGGAACUUUGAGGAACCUUCUGCAUGCAAGCAUGCAGAUGCUCUUUCCAGAGUGGCCACAUUGGGGAACCUAGUUCUGAAACCCGGUGGCUGGUUUUGUCAGCAGAGAUUGUAUGUUAAACCAAGCAAUAUGUCUAAGUCCAUAUUUUUACACUUUUGUGCAAAAAAUGAUCCCAUUUACCAUUAUAAAUCACUGCUGCAACACCUUUAUAAAGCUGCCAAGAAGUGAAUUGCUAGUCUGUGGGAAACAGCCCAAUAACCCAGCAACAAUCAAUGGGUGGAGAAGAUCUGGGGAAUUUAAGAUUACAUACAAGCUCGAUACAUAACUUGUAACGUAUACAACAAGUUAUGCAGGCUAGUAGGAACCCAACUCUGAAUACCAAUACAAUGGCAAUCUAGUCCCCCUUUGUUAUUGGUGGCUCUCCUCUGAAGUGAAGUUUACAACAUACGGUACAAUUCUGAAUCUUUCUAAUCUAUAAUAGUUAGUUUAAUUCUCCUGUUCGCUUCCUUCUCUCCCAGCCUGCAGACCUCAGAUGUUGGAUAUUAUUUUAAUGAAGAAAAAAAAAUCUUAUUGAGCAGUCAUAAUAUUUGUGUUUGUUAUUUUUCUAUAUUAAGGGCAUUUUAAAUUGCAUAUUUUCUUUUUAGUGAUAAUCUUUUAUCUUGUUUUUUUAGAAAAAGACAAUUUGUUUAAUUCAGUUCGUCUGCUGUAUAUUUUGAAGAAUUUGUUGGUUGUUUGAUUUGAAUGUUUGUUUAUGUGAAAUAAAGCCCUGCUUCCCAAUGACCUACAGAUACCAAAUGUUGCAUACACAAUCCUGCCACUGAAAUUAGCUGAAUGCACUACCUUUUUAGACUGGAAUAUACUCAGUGAAUGUUUAUUUUUUAUUUUUAAAGAAGAAAUUCUGAAUGUAAUCAUAUUUUAACUGUUGUUCUCAACAUAAUUUUAAUACUCAAUAAUCAAUAUCAAUAAUUCCAAAAGAAGAUCUUUCACAUUCAAAUUUACUGUA